rnacentral:lncRNA from 1 species
AGAUACAGACGAUCCUUUAAGCAACCCCCUGCAGGUGACCACGAUCGAUGGCAGGGAGCUGUUGGGAGGAGAAGUCAGCUUGCAGACCGUCCCAAUGAUAAUGAAGGUAGCAAGGCACACCGAACUGAUAGCUUUUAAUGUGGCCACCUUGGGAGGAGCUCCCAUUAUAUUGGGGAUGAGCUGGCUAGCGUUACAUGAUCCGCUGGUGGGCUGGCAUCAGAGAGUGGUUUCUUUUGGUUCAGCACAUUGCUUAGAACACUGCAAAGAGGGAAAGGGUUUGGCAGGGGCCCAAGCCACCCUAGCAGGGACUGAAGUAACGGAGAACGUGAAGGUACCACGACAAUAUGCAGAUCUCCGUGACGUCUUCAGCGAAAGGGAAGCUGACCAACUACCCCCGCAUAGACCCUUUGACUGUCAAAUCAAUUUACUCCCUGGGGCACAGCUCCCUGUAGGCAAGCUGUACGCCAUGUCAGACAGAGAGAUGCAGGAGCUAAGAGAGUUCAUUGACAAGAACCUGAAGAGAGGGUUCAUCAGAGAGUCCAGGGCGGUGGGGGCAGCCCAGUGUUUUUUGUGGAUAAAAACACGAACAAGCCGAGGCUGGUGUGUGACUUCAGGGCCUUAAAUGCAGUGUCAGAACCAGUGGCCUUCCCUAUGCCCAGGAUUGACGACAUUUUGACAAGGGUGCGGAAGGGAAAGAUUUUCACAAAGCUGGACCUAAGGGGGGCGUACAACCUGGUACGAAUAAGGAAGGGGGAUGAAUGGAAAACCACCAUGUUCACCCCUUUAGGGGCAUUUGAAUAUUUGGUUAUGCCCUUCGGCCUACAAGCAGGCUCCGCAACCUUUCAAUCGUUUAUGAACCACGUCCUGGGGCCUUUGCUUUACAAGAAUUGUGUGGCCUUUUUAGACGACGUGUUGGUGUAUUCUGAGAAUGAGGAGCAGCAUGUGAGAGACGUCAGAGAAGUGUUGAGCAGGCUGCAAGCCAACCAGCUGUGGGUGAAACUGGAGAAGUGUCAGUUUCAUACCAAGGAGGUGGAAUUCCUGGGGUAUCGCCUGUCAGACAAGGGAUUGGCCAUGGAUCCCGGCAAGGUCCAGGCGGUGCUGGAAUGGAAAACACCCAAAACAAGGAAGGAUGUGCAGAGGUUCCUAGGAUUUGGGAACUUCUAUCGUAAGUUCAUCCGAAACUUUGCCCACCUGACGGCGCCCAUUACGGACUGUCUCAGCAGUAAGAAGAAGUUCGCGUGGACUGAGGAGGCGGAGCGAGCAUUUGAGGAACUAAAAAGGGCCUUCGCCUGGAACAACAACUCCUGCAUGUGGAUUUACAAAACCGAUGAGAGUGGAAACUGACGCAUCAGACAGAGCGAUUGGGGCGGUGCUUCUGCAGCCAGGCAAGGAGGAGUCAGAGUGGAGACCGUGUGCCUUUUUUCGCGAAAGCUGAACAAAUCCGAGAGGAACUACACGGUGUAUGACCGAGAACUACUAGCCAUUCAUGAGGCGUUCCGGAGAUGGAGGCACCUGCUAAUUGGCGCACAACAUAAGGUGCAAGUGUGCACUGACCACAAGAACCUAGAGUAUUGGAGGACGGCACGAGUGCUCAACCAACGGCAAGUGAGAUGGGCCCAGGAGUUCUCCAAAUUUAACUUUGAGAUUUGUUACGUGCCAGGCCCAGAGAACAUUAGGGCGGACGCUCUCUCACGCAAACCUGAAUAUUUGGAGGGGGAGGGAGCACCCGAAGAGAGACAUGUCAUUCCAGAGGACCGCUGGGUGUGUGGGGCGGCAUUGGUGGGACAAAGAGAACUGGUAGAGGAAACAGAGAAUGAUGAAUACGCCCAGAAUAAGCUCAGAGGUCUUAGGGGUGAGGGAGAGGAACCAGGGGGUUUCGAGGAAAGAAAUGGAGCUUUGUAUUACAAAGGGGCACUGUAUAUCCCUGAAGGAGACUUAAGGGGAGGGUACUCAAGCAGUUGCACGACAGCCCUACGGCGGGGCAUUUUGGACAACACAAAACCAUGUGGUUGGUCACCAGGGAAUUUUGGUGGCCCAAGGUGAGGGAAGAUGUACGUGAGUAUGUAAGAGGGUGCGAGCAAUGCCAGCGAGCCAAAGGGGAAAGGCGGGCGCCGGCGGGGCUAUUAGAACCCUUACCAACCCCAGAACGACCUUGGGAGGCAGUGUCGAUAGAUUUUAUGACUGAUCUGCCGAAGUCCAAAGGGAAAACAGCCAUCAUGGUGGUGGUGGACCUACUAACAAAGAUGUGCCACUUUGUAGCUUGCUCGCAUGCAGUCACGGCGGAAGAGACAGCGAAGUUAUUUGUAGAACACAUUUUUAGGUUGCACGGGGUGCCAUUGAGGGUGGUCUCAGACCGAGGAAAACAAUUUACUUCCAGGUUCUGGAGGAAGCUCAUGAGCUUACUGCAGGUGGAGGUCAAUUUUUCGACUGCCCGGCACCCUGAAACCAACGGGCAGGCGGAAAGAGCAAACGGUGUCCUCCAGCAAUACCUGAGGUGUUAUGUCAAUGACAGAGAGAAUGACUGGGUAGAAAAGUUGGCGCUGGCGGAAUUUGCCUACAACAAUGCCGAGAAUGUGUCCACAGGGAUGAGCCCCUUCUUGGCUAAUUAUGGGUGUCAUCCCAGGGCUUUCCCAGGGGGAGAUGGGGAGAGAUGGAGCGUCCCGGCAGCCGAGCAUUUUGUAGAAGAAAUGGAAGCAAUCCAUUGUCAGCUCCAACUCAACUUAGAAAGGGCGAAGGAAGAAUACAAGAGGCAAGCAGACAAGAACCGAAGGGAAGGUGAAACCAUAAGGGUGGGAGAUAGGGUGUGGCUGUCAACCCAAGGGCUGCUGCUCAAAGGAGGUUGUAAGAAAUUAAGACCCAGGAGGUUGGGUCCCUUUGAGGUCAUUCAACAGGUCAACCCAGUGGCUUUCAGGCUCCGGUUACCCAACCACAUGAAACUGCACCCAGUAUUUCACAGGUCGUUACUGUCACCGUACGAAGGGGGACGAGAAGGGAUGGCCACUGGGACCGGUCAUAGAAGAAAGAGAAUGCAGCAGCCAUGUGGCAGAAAUCCUCGACGCCAGGUGGAAGGGGAAUCAGGUGGAGUAUUUGGUAGCGUGGGAAGGAGAACCGGAGUCAGAAAACACUUGGGUAAUGGCCGAAGAUAUCAAUGACGAGGUAUUGAUAGAAACGUUCCAUCAAAGGUUCCCAAGGAAACCUCAGCCUGUGGAGAGGUUCCGGAGGGAAUACUUUGGGACCACUGAUGAGGAGGAGGAGUUGGAAGGCUUCCCGGACUCGGAAGGGGAAGGGGAGAUGGACUCUGAGGAGGAGGAGUACUUCGAGACCAGGAACCGCAACAGGUGGAGAGAAGUGUUCGAGACAUCGGAAGAUGAAGGAAGUUCAUUCCGGGUUUUGCCUCCUCACCGCCCGUAGAGGAGGGGGCGAGAGGGGGUGAAGGGGGCCCUGGGGGGAGGUGGAUGUCAGGGAACUGCCAUCGGACGGAAGGGAGGUGAAAGGGCUCACACAGGUUGGGAGAGACUCAGCAGCUGAAGAGGGAACCAGUAGGGGGAGAGGAGCUGAGCGGAGGGAAAGUGAGCUGGAGGGAUGGCUCAGAGACACUUCCAGCGAAAACAGUGGGGAGGUUUCAGGACCUCCUGUAGGGACACCCACUCCUCGCCGGAAACUGACACGCAGAGGGUCCAGAAGACGUGUUUCCGUUAAGGAGCUUUUAUGUUGGAAGCGAUUACGAAAGCAACCACUGUCGGAAUCUGCUAGUGACUAGAGGAGCCAUGUCUGAGGGGCUCCGUCACAGACAGAGGUUUGUGGACUUGAACAAACUCUGAGGGGAUACGAUUUUACGCACAAGCAGCUCAUCAUCCCAUCACACAGAGGAAACGAUGAGGACAGAAACGAAAAUAGAUAUGGUGCUGAACAAAAGACAAAUAAUGGAGAACUGGAUAGCAGGGAUGUUAUAUAAACUGAUGAUAAGCGACAAAGAAAGAAUGAUAAGGAUAAUUCAGAUUAAAUGGGAGCAGGAAGGUAUGAUUCAUCCAAACACGGCUCAAGAACUGAUGAAGAAUAUAAACAAUAUU